AGAACGAACGCUGGCGGCAGGCUUAACACAUGCAAGUCGAACGCGUGUAGCAAUACACGAGUGGCGCACGGGUGAGUAACGCGUGGAUAUCUGCCUUUUGGUUCGGAAUAACCCCGGGAAACUGGGGCUAAUACCGGAUGGUUCCUACGGGAUAAAGAUUUAUCGCCAAAAGAUGAGUCCGCGUACGAUUAGCUAGUUGGUGAGGUAAUGGCUCACCAAGGCGACGAUCGUUAGCUGGUCUGAGAGGACGAUCAGCCACACUGGGACUGAGACACGGCCCAGACUCCUACGGGAGGCAGCAGUGGGGAAUAUUGGACAAUGGGGGGCAACCCUGAUCCAGCCAUGCCGCGUGAGUGAUGAAGGCCUUCGGGUUGUAAAGCUCUUUUGGCGGGGACGAUGAUGACGGUACCCGCAGAAUAAGCCCGGCUAACUUCGCGCCAGCAGCCGC
rnacentral:rRNA from 1 species